AUAUUGCACAAUGGGGGAAACCCUGAUGCAGCAACGCCGCGUGAGUGAUGACGGCCUUCGGGUUGUAAAGCUCUGUCUUCAGGGACGAUAAUGACGGUACCUGAGGAGGAAGCCACGGCUAACUACGUGCCAGCAGCCGCGGUAAUACGUAGGUGGCAAGCGUUGUCCGGAUUUACUGGGCGUAAAGGGAGCGUAGGCGGACUUUUAAGUGAGAUGUGAAAUACCCGGGCUCAACCUGGGUGCUGCAUUUCAAACUGGAAGUCUAGAGUGCAGGAGAGGAGAGUGGAAUUCCUAGUGUAGCGGUGAAAUGCGUAGAGAUUAGGAAGAACACCAGUGGCGAAGGCGACUCUCUGGACUGUAACUGACGCUGAGGCUCGAAAGCGUGGGGAGCAAACA
rnacentral:rRNA from 1 species